rnacentral:SRP_RNA from 1 species
GGGACUUUCCCGUGCUGGCACAAAGAAAAACUCCGUGCUAUAAUUUCCGGGUUCCAUACCCCGCAGCCGUCUGCGGGGAAUCCAGUCCCGUGCGGCGGAAACCUCCGAACCCUGUCAGGCCCGGAAGGGAGCAGCAGUAAGGAGAAUUUUCCGGGUGCCACGGGGAAACUGGGUUUCCCGCAGACGGCUGCGCUUAUUCGUCCC